AGAGCUCACCCUCUCUGAAGGAGAGCAGGUGCCUCCUGAGAGCAGGGCUUCUCUACCUUGGGGCACUAUGAACAUUCUGAGUGGGUGCCCACUUUGUUCAUCUCUGCUCACUGGGGGAGCCAGGACACGGAUCCAGGUUUUCUGACUCCAGGUCUCAGGCUUGCUCCAUAGCGCCACCUGCUGGUGACGGCAAUCGGUAGGCACCCAAAUCAAGACUCAGAUUUCCUCAUCUCAGAAGUUGUCCACUUCUUCUCCGACCUCCACGGUAACUCGGAACCACACCGUGGAGUUAUCCCUGUGUCCUCUUUCUCGGAAGUUCCACAUCCAACCCCUCAGCAGGUCUCAGCGGCACUCUCACCACCUCCUCUGCUCUGUUCCUGUUUCUCUUGGAUGGUCGAAUGUUUCCUAAGGAGUGUCUGCUGCUUCACGCUUGCCCCCUGGAGUGGCAUCUAAAAGGUGCAGGUCAGAUGAAUCUUUCUUCUGCCAGGGCUCCCGGCUUAGCCAAGGAAAAGCACAAGUCCCUGACCAUAUCCUGCAAAAUUCCACAUCUGGGAACUCAGGCAUAUCAGGCCUGGUCUCUUUUUCUUCUUCCUUUUAAAAUAACGAAUACAUUGACAUGCCCCU
rnacentral:lncRNA from 1 species